GUGCAGCCCAAUAAAAAACAGAAAAGACCAAUAGGGCUUCACAGUGGUCAAUGGAGUCCCAGAGGAAUCACUGGAAACCAAUAGCAACGCACGCCUGGAUGUCCCGGGGCUGGUGCAGGUGGAUUUGCCACAGCCUUUCUUACAAGGACUGAGAGUGGGAUGAGAAGUGCCCUGAAGUUGCAAGUAGGCAAAAGAGCAAUGCAAAUCAAGGUAACUGUGUUGGAGGCCCUGCCUGGGAGCAGAGUGACGUGAGAGCCCCACCACCUUCUGCUUAGGAGCUGUGUAGAGUCCCCAUCCCAAAUGGCGUGUUUCCUUAGCAAAACGGUUGUUCUUCUGGAAAGCCCCAGCUCCUCGCGUUAGAUUACUACGUGAAGAAUCCCAGGCUGAAUUAUUUAGAACUACUUUUUUGUUAGUGGUCAAGUAAAACACGGCAACAGAGGCAGCGGGGGGUAACCUCAGGAAAAAGAGGGGACAAAAACAUCUCCUGUGUCAAGGCCUGACUUGAUGAGAAAGGAAGAGCUGUGGAAGUGUGCGUGGUUGGAGGUGUCCAUCUCCUAGACUGCACCCAGAGGAGGAGAAUGAUUCUGGCUCUGCAGUCUCGGAACUCCAGGCAAUACACACAGGGAAGGAUUUCUGGGCUGAGAUGAAUUUAUAUCUCUGCAGCUUCUAAUCUUUUGCAUGUGGCGUUCUCAUGCAGUGAAGCUUUUGGACAUGGUUUAUCGUCACCGUAGCUGACCUGCAUGGGAAAAGAUGCCAUUAG
ensembl:lncRNA